rnacentral:rRNA from 1 species
GACGUAGGGCGCGAGCGUUGUCCGGAUUAUUGGGCGUAAAGAGCUCGUAGGCGGCUUGUCGCGUCCGACCGUGAAAACUUGGGGCUCAACCCCAAGCCUGCGGUCGAUACGGGCAGGCUCGAGUUCGGUAGGGGAGACUGGAAUUCCUGGUGUAGCGGUGAAAUGCGCAGAUAUCAGGAGGAACACCGGUGGCGAAGGCGGCCCUCUGGACGGAUACUGACGCUGAGACGCGAAAGCGUGGGGAGCAAACAGG